AUUGAACGCUGGCGGCAGGCCUAACACAUGCAAGUCGAGCGGAUGAAGGGAGCUUGCUCCUGGAUUCAGCGGCGGACGGGUGAGUAAUGCCUAGGAAUCUGCCUGGUAGUGGGGGAUAACGUCCGGAAACGGGCGCUAAUACUGCAUACGUCCUGAGGGUGAAAGUGGGGGAUCUUCGGACAUUACGCUAUCAGAUGAGCCUAGGUCGGAUUAGCUAGUUGGUGGGGUAAAGGCCUACCAAGGCGACGAUUCGUAUCUGGUCUGAGAGGAUGAUCACUCACACUGGAACUGGAACACGGUCCAUGCUCCUACGGGAGGCAGCAGUGGGGAAUAUUGGACAGAGGGCGAAAGCCUUAUCCAGCCAUGCCGCGUGUGUGAAGAAGGUCUUCGGAUUGUAAAGCACUUUAAGUUGGGAGGAAGGGCAGUAAGUUAAUACCUUGCUGUUUUGACGGUACCAACAGAAUAAGCACCGGCUAACUUCGUG
rnacentral:rRNA from 1 species